AUUGAACGCUGGCGGCAUGCUUUACACAUGCAAGUCGAACGGCAGCACGGGAGCAAUCCUGGUGGCGAGUGGCGAACGGGUGAGUAAUAUAUCGGAACGUGCCUUAUAGUGGGGGAUAACGCAGCGAAAGUUGCGGUAAUACCGCAUACGCCCUGAGGGGGAAAGCGGGGGAUCGAAAGACCUCGCGCUACUAGAGCGGCCGAUAUCUGAUUAGCUAGUUGGUGAGGUAAAGGCUCACCAAGGCUUCGAUCAGUAGCUGGUCUGAGAGGACGAUCAGCCACACUGGGACUGAGACACGGCCCAGACUCCUACGGGAGGCAGCAGUGGGGAAUUUUGGACAAUGGGGGCAACCCUGAUCCAGCAAUGCCGCGUGAGUGAAGAAGGCCUUCGGGUUGUAAAGCUCUUUUGUCAGGGAAGAAACAGCAGCUCUAACACAGCUGUGAAUGACGGUACCUGAAGAAUAAGCACCGGCUAACUACGUGCCAGCAGCCGCGGUAAUACGUAGGGUGCAAGCGUUAAUCGGAAUUACUGGGCGUAAAGCGUGCGCAGGCGGUUAUACAAGACAGGCGUGAAAUCCCCGGGCUUAACCUGGGAAUUGCGUCUGUGACUGUAUGGCUAGAGUGUGUCAGAGGGGGGUAGAAUUCCACGUGUAGCAGUGAAAUGCGUAGAUAUGUGGAGGAAUACCAAUGGCGAAGGCAGCCCCC
rnacentral:rRNA from 1 species